rnacentral:hammerhead_ribozyme from 1 species
AUCGAGCUGACGAGUCCAAAAUGGGACGAAACGUGCGUCCUUGAU